UUUGAGGUAGUGCUGGCAUACGAAGCAUGAUGAAGGUCUCAUGCAUUACGAUUUUACUUACUUUCACUGCCUUUUAUUUUCUGCUGUCCACCACUGAAAAGGGAGGUCCGUCAUUCGCUGCUGCGCUGCCAUUUCCGGAGCCAAAUCCAUUAUUUGGUUUGUCAAGGCGAAAACGCUCCAACCCUAAGUCGCAUCAGCAGCCACAUCGUAGGCACGAUCAGCGCAAUCCUCGAAAUAUCAGCCACAUGUCGAAAGCGGAAAUGAAGCAGAUACAGGAUCAGCUUGAAAAUCCCCAACGUAAUCAAAAUAAUCCAAGCGGUAGUGGCAGGACUUGAUCCCGAAAAUGGCAAUGUCAUGCUUCUCCGACAAGAUGCCUUCCGUGUUGUCGACUUUCUGCUCUUUGCAGCCAACUGUCUCCGACCAUCUCUCCAGAAGACCCAGGGACUCCUGGGUUCACUUGAAAUAAAAGCACACACCACCCA